rnacentral:rRNA from 1 species
UACAGAGGUCUUAAGCGUUGUUCGGAUUCAUUGGGCGUAAAGGGUGUGUAGGUGGCGCGCUAAGUCGGGUGUGAAAUUUCGGAGCUUAACUCCGAAACUGCAUUCGAUACUGGCGUGCUUGAGGACUGGAGAGGAGACUGGAAUUCAUGGUGUAGCAGUGAAAUGCGUAGAGAUCAUGAGGAAGACCAGUGGCGAAGGCGGGUCUCUGGACAGUUCCUGACACUGAGACACGAAGGCCAGGGGAGCAAACGGG